UUGCGAUCUGUACAAAUUAAUUUUUAAGUGAUAAAGCACAAACAGUGAAGUACCGCCACCGGUCGAGAGGGGCAGCACCUCAACAAGACGGGAGAAUUGUAAACCGGAAGAUACCGUGUCCUGCCAGAGAGCACUCGUCGUUACAAGUUUUCAGUGUUUGAAGAGAGGAUCAAGAUACAGAUUUAAGACAAAAGGCAUCAAUUACGAUCGUUUAAAUAACUUGCCCAGAGCACAGCAUCUCGUGUACAGCAUGAAGUUUUCAGCUAUCAAGAUUUCUAGAGACUCCAGAAUGAAAACCAAGCCCUGCACUGCAAAAAAAUGAAUGUCUUUCUUAGUUUUCUUUUGUCUUGUUUUCUAAUAUUAAUAUCUGAAAAUUCUUAAAUUGAGAUACACUGACUUGGUAAGCAAGUGGCUUAAGAUAUUAAGUUUUGUUUAUUGAAAUAAAUGAUGGAAAUCAAGAGGUUUUUGUUUACUUAA